AGGUUCGAGAGAUGGAAAAAUGGAAGGAAGGGAAGACUGGCGAAGCCAAAGCUGCUUUGAGACGUUCUGUGAGGGAAAUUGGAUUGGAUGUAGCAGAGCAAAGUGGAGAGGUUACACAAUCUGUCUCUGGCCCAGUACUUCCAAGGUAUUAGAGGCUCAGCUUGACAAGAGCAUCAUCUAGAUCUUGUAAAUAUGUUCUCAACACCCUCAUGCAGACAUUUCAAAACAAGAGACUGGCUUAUGCUGUCAAGGAAAGCACUCUUGAUAGUCUAAUUACUGAGCUCCUUCUAU